UGUUUUUUUUUCCCCACUCGACAUUAUCUCUAAAAACAUGCAAUCAAUUUUUCAUUUUAUGAUUAGAUAUGGUUCAAAAUUCAAAUGAUUCAAGGGAGUAUGCAGUGAAAAAUUUCUUUCCCACAAAGCUGCUCAAACACCCAGUUUUAUUCCGUGGAAGCAACUAGUGUUUCCUGUUUCCUCUGUAUCCUUUCAGAGAUGUUCUAUGCACAUUAAGCAAGUACACAUAUAUUCUUUUUUUUUAAUUUAAAUGGUAGCAUGCUGUUAUGCACCUAUUUUUUCUAUAAGAUAUGUCUAUAGCAUAAAUUAGAGUUGACACAUUAAUGGUAAUAUUAAUCAUAAUGGGUUGCUAAUUGUCCUUACUUGAGGUAGUAAUAUAUUAGAUAUCCCUGAAGUGCCCAUCCUCUCACAGCCUUUCCAAUAUUAUCAAAUGUCUUUAUUUUUUACUUAAAUAUUAUGUUUUUGAGACAUCAUAGUGGUACAUGUAGUCAUGGUUCACGCAAUUUUAACUACUAGGUAGGGCACAGUUGUAUAAAUUGAAUAUACUGCAAGUUACUUAUCCACACAUCCACUGAUGGGCAAUUAAAUUUGUCCCAUGUCACUUUAUCCUUGUUAGAGUGCCUGGUUCAUGAUAAAUGUUUUUUAAGUGAAUGGAUAAACUAAUGAAUCCAUGAAUAAUAAGAAACUGAUUUUGAAGCAUGCUAAACAUGCUGGUAUGAACUGUAAGGGACUAUAGAUGAUAAUCCCCACUAUGAAUCACAGUGGAUUUUUUGAGACCUUAGAGGUAAAUGGGAGGGGUUCAACAAGAAUAGCCUUUUAUAGCUUUUAAAUUCUGGACUUUUUCAGCUUUCAUAAUUUGCAUUAAUAGCCUCAAUCACCAGUUGGUCAAGGAAACAGUAUACACAUCAAAGAUAAUUUUUCUAAUUUUAAAUGUAAACAGUACUUCGUUAGUCAUCUUUUGAAUUGCAGAGGUACACCCAGCUGGCUAAGGGUCACCACACCCUGUCUAUAUUUACUGAGUUAAGAAUAAAUCUGGCUAGGUUGCUUUGUUGUUAAAAGAACAAACUAAUUAUUGAAAGCUCAAGUUCAAGUUCAUAUAUUCUGACUUCCUAGUUAAUUUUCAUAUCAUGACAAGGACAGCUUCUAGGUAAGAACUUUAUAUAUGCUGACUAACCACUGAUGGCAAGUUUUGGCAUAGGACGUUAUUUAAUAUUUGGAUACGUCGCAUUUUGUGGCUGGGGCAAAGGAGCACUUAAUGUGCUUAAUUUUACUGAGAUCAUGCUAAGAAAUUUGUGAUCCCAAGGCAAAAUGCCACACAUAUUUCCUCCCGAUAUUUAGUUUUCUGCCCUAGGAAUAUAAUUCAGCUAAAAGAUUUCAGUCCUGCUUCUUUCCCAUCCUAAGUUUUAGAUUGGGACUUUAUCAUAAUGAUUGUACCUAUUAUAAUAAUUAUUACCUUUCAAAUUAAAAUUGUGCAGGCUUUGGCGAUAGAAACACUUUUGAACAAUUUUUCUUUGAGUUGACUUCAUGUUGUUCAGGCAAGUCACAAACUUAAUCCCUUAUUCACUCAACAAGGGUUAAUUAAAUGCACACCAGAUUAGGUAUUUAUCAGAGAUGCAAGUAUUAAUGUCUAAAAGGUUCCUUUUAAAAUAUGUGUAUGUACUAAUAGACAGAAUACUACUAAUUUAUGACUCGCCGCGAAUUCCUAGAAAGGAAUUCUUAACUAAAUUAUGAGCUAAUAAAAGUGCACACAGUUUAAAAUUUACUAAUUAUAUUACAAUAGCCAUGAUAUGGAAACAAUCUAAGUGUCCACCAAUGGAUGAAUGGAUAAAGAAAAUGCAGUUAUAUGUACACAAUGGAAUAUUACUCAGUCAUUUUUUUAAAUGAAAUUUUGCCAUUUGCAACAACAUUGAUGGGCCCUGAUGGCAUUAUGCUAGUGAAAUAAGUCAGAGAUAAGCUAUGUGAUCUUACUUAUAUGUGGAAUCUAAAAAACAAAAAACACAAAACGCAAAAACAAAAAAACAAGCUCAUAGCUACAAAGGACAGACUGAUGACUACCAGAGGUGGUGGGUGGUGGAAAUGGGUGAAGGGGAUCAAAGGAACAAACUUCCAGUGAGAAGCCAUCAGGAUGGAAAGUACAGCAUGGUGACUAGAGUUAAUAUGUUUUGCAUAUUUGAAAGUGGCUAAGAAUAAAUGUUAAAAGUUCUCAUCACAAAAAAAUAAAAGAUUUCUGUGUGUGUGACCAUGUAAGGGGACAGAUGUUAACUAGACUCAUUGUGAUCAUUUCCCAAUGCACACAGAUAUCAAAUCAUUAUGUUGUACCCCUGAAACUAAUAAGUUGUCUAUUAGAAAUAUAUACAUUUUUAAAGUUACUAAUUAUAUUAUACAAGUAGCAUAUCAUUAUAUUAUUUGGGUUUGAGAGAGCAGUAACUUGCUCAAGACUGAUAGUAAAUUGCCAAUGCAAAUUAUUCAUGCUAUUUAGAAUUUUAAAUAGAAUUUGAGGAAAAAGUUAAAUUUGAGCUUGUUUCCACAUAUGUAAACGGCAGUUUGUUGUGUUAGGUUAAUAAGGUAUAAGGCACCUAGCAUGAUACCUCACACAUGCUCACUCAAUUUUGUUAGCUACUUCCACUUUCUCCAAAAUUAGUAGUAUAUCUAGCACAUUUAACACCUUCUUCCUCUGAAUGAGAAUUUUUAUUAAUCAUAAAAUGAAAUGAAUAUGAGCCAGAUAGAAAUGUAGACACUGAAAAACAUCAUUAAAAUUUUUUAAAUAAAAAGUUGAUAAUAAUUAUGAUACAAAAGAGGAAAAAAUAGAGUAAUACUUUUCAUUAAAAAGUUUUUUUUGAAAAAGGAAAAAGAUAAAUGUUUCAAAAAAGGGUUUUAAAAGUUUGGAGAGGGGAUCCCUGGGUGGCCCAGGGGUUUAGCACCUGCCUUCGGCCCAGGGCGUGAUCCUGGAGUCCCGGGAUCAAGUCCCACAUCAGGCUCCCUGCAUGGGGCCUGCUUCUCCCUCUGCUUGUGUCUCUGCCUCUCUCUCUCUUUGUAUCUCUCAUGAAUAAAUAAAUAAAAUCUUUAAAAAAAAAAAAUAAAUAAAAGUUUGGAGAAUGAUUUGCACACAGAACGAUAGAAUUUAAAUAACUCCAUUUCUGCUUAAGUAUCUUUACAAUCAUGGUGCUAUCAUUGUAUAUUUUGAGUCUACUGUUUAAAGGGAGGGUUUAUAUUGUACCACAGAGGUUGGAGACAUGAAUUCCCCAUAGAAUACAAUGUUUGUUAAAAGAUAAUAAAAAUUACUUUUUUUGAGGCUUACAUAUGUUAUUAAAAUUUAAUAGGAACCACAGCAUUUAGUAAGAAUUUACAUCAGUGGUUUUGUCUUGGUGAUUUUGCCUCUGGGGACAUUUGGCAAUGUCUGAAGCAACUUUGGGUUGUUACAAGUGUGGGUAAGACAGUGCUAUUGAAAUCAAAUGGAUAGAGGCCAGGGGUGCAGCUACACAUGCCAUGGU
rnacentral:lncRNA from 1 species